rnacentral:tRNA from 12 species
GGCUUCAAACCUUGGGGGGCUCAGCGGCCCAGUAGUUUGAUUCUACCUUGC